CGGCGUGUAGCUCAGAUUGGUGAGAGCGCUCGGUUGAAACCCGAGAGGUCGCAGGUUCGAGCCCUGCCGCGCCGGCCA
rnacentral:tRNA from 1 species